GACGAACGCUGGCGGCGUGCUUAACACAUGCAAGUCGAACGGAAAGGCCCUGCUUUUGUGGGGUGCUCGAGUGGCGAACGGGUGAGUAACACGUGAGUAACCUGCCCUUGACUUUGGGAUAACUUCAGGAAACUGGGGCUAAUACCGGAUAGGAGCUCCUGCUGCAUGGUGGGGGUUGGAAAGUUUCGGCGGUUGGGGAUGGACUCGCGGCUUAUCAGCUUGUUGGUGGGGUAGUGGCUUACCAAGGCUUUGACGGGUAGCCGGCCUGAGAGGGUGACCGGCCACAUUGGGACUGAGAUACGGCCCAGACUCCUACGGGAGGCAGCAGUGGGGAAUAUUGCACAAUGGGCGGAAGCCUGAUGCAGCAACGCCGCGUGCGGGAUGACGGCCUUCGGGUUGUAAACCGCUUUCGCCUGUGACGAAGCGUGAGUGACGGUAAUGGGUAAAGAAGCACCGGCUAACUACGUGCCAGCAGCCGCGGUGAUACGUAGGGUGCGAGCGUUGUCCGGAUUUAUUGGGCGUAAAGGGCUCGUAGGUGGUUGAUCGCGUCGGAAGUGUAAUCUUGGGGCUUAACCCUGAGCGUGCUUUCGAUACGGGUUGACUUGAGGAAGGUAGGGGAGAAUGGAAUUCCUGGUGGAGCGGUGGAAUGCGCAGAUAUCAGGAGGAACACCAGUGGCGAAGGCGGUUCUCUGGGCCUUUCCUGACGCUGAGGAGCGAAAGCGUGGGGAGCGAACAGGCUUAGAUACCCUGGUAGUCCACGCUGUAAACGGUGGGUACUAGGUGUGGGGUCCAUUCCACGGGUUCCGUGCCGUAGCUAACGCUUUAAGUACCCCGCCUGGGGAGUACGGACGCAAGGCUAAAACUCAAAGGAAUUGACGGGGCCCCGCACAAGCGGCGGAGCAUGCGGAUUAAUUCGAUGCAACGCGUAGAACCUUACCUGGGUUUGACAUGGAUCGGGAGUGCUCAGAGAUGGGUGUGCCUCUUUUGGGGUCGGUUCACAGGUGGUGCAUGGCUGUCGUCAGCUCGUGUCGUGAGAUGUUGGGUUAAGUCCCGCAACGAGCGCAACCCUUGUUCACUGUUGCCAGCACGUUAUGGUGGGGACUCAGUGGAGACCGCCGGGGUCAACUCGGAGGAAGGUGGGGAUGACGUCAAGUCAUCAUGCCCCUUAUGUCCAGGGCUUCACGCAUGCUACAAUGGCUGGUACAGAGAGUGGCGAGCCUGUGAGGGUGAGCGAAUCUCGGAAAGCCGGUCUCAGUUCGGAUUGGGGUCUGCAACUCGACCUCAUGAAGUCGGAGUCGCUAGUAAUCGCAGAUCAGCAACGCUGCGGUGAAUACGUUCCCGGG
rnacentral:rRNA from 1 species